CCAAUAGCGUAUAUUAAAGUUGUUGCAGUUAAAAAGCUCGUAGUUGAAUUUCGAGACCGGUUUAUUGGUCGUGCUUUUGUACGUACUGGUAUUAUUGGUUUCUCCUUUCUGACGAAUCUUAAUGCCAUUAAUUUGGUGUUUUGGGGAAUCAGGACUGUUACUUUGAAAAAAUUAGAGUGUUUAAAGCAGGCUCACGCUUGAAUACAUUAGCAUGGAAUAACGGAAUAGGACGUUUGAUUCUAUUUUGUCGGUUUCUAGGAUCGACGUAAUGAUUAAUAGGGAUAGUUGGGGGCAUUAGUAUUCAAUUGUCAGAGGUGAAAUUCUUGGAUUUAUUGAAGACUAACUACUGCGAAAGCAUUUGCCAAGGAUGUUUUCAUUAAUCAAGAACGAAAGUUAGGGGAUCGAAGACGAUCAGAUACCGUCGUAGUCUUAACCAUAAACUAUGCCGACUAGGGAUCGGAUGAUGUUAAUUUUUUAAUGACUCAUUCGGCGCCUUACG
rnacentral:rRNA from 1 species